rnacentral:rRNA from 1 species
UAGGGUUUGAUCCUGGCUCAGAUUGAACGCUGGCGGCAUGCUUUACACAUGCAAGUCGAACGGUAACAGGCCGCAAGGUGCUGACGAGUGGCGAACGGGUGAGUAAUGCAUCGGAACGUGCCCAGUCGUGGGGGAUAACGCAGCGAAAGCUGCGCUAAUACCGCAUACGAUCUAUGGAUGAAAGCGGGGGACCGUAAGGCCUCGCGCGAUUGGAGCGGCCGAUGUCAGAUUAGGUAGUUGGUGGGGUAAAGGCUCACCAAGCCAACGAUCUGUAGCUGGUCUGAGAGGACGACCAGCCACACUGGGACUGAGACACGGCCCAGACUCCUACGGGAGGCAGCAGUGGGGAAUUUUGGACAAUGGGCGCAAGCCUGAUCCAGCAAUGCCGCGUGCAGGAAGAAGGCCUUCGGGUUGUAAACUGCUUUUGUACGGAACGAAAAGGCUCUGGUUAAUACCUGGGGCACAUGACGGUACCGUAAGAAUAAGCACCGGCUAACUACGUGCCAGCAGCCGCGGUAAUAC